UCCCUGGUGGUCCAAUGGUUAAGACUCUGCACCUCCAAUGCAAGGGCCCAGGUUUGAUCCCUGGUCAGGGAA